rnacentral:rRNA from 1 species
UACGGAGGGUGCAAGCGUUAAUCGGAAUUACUGGGCGUAAAGCGCGCGUAGGCGGAUUCUUAAGUCAGGAGUGAAAGCCCUCGGCUCAACCGAGGAAUAGCUUUUGAUACUGGGAGUCUUGAGUUCAGGAGAGGGUGGCGGAAUUCCAGGUGUAGGAGUGAAAUCCGUAGAGAUCUGGAGGAACAUCAGUGGCGAAGGCGGCCACCUGGACUGAUACUGACGCUGAGGUG